rnacentral:rRNA from 1 species
CAGGCUUAACACAUGCAAGUCGAGGGGUAACGUGAGUGCUUGCACUUGACGACGACCGGCGCACGGGUGCGUAACGCGUAUAGAACCUACCUUAUAGUAAGGGAUAGCCCAGAGAAAUUUGGAUUAAUACCUUAUAGUAUGAUAAGAUGGCAUCAUUUAAUCAUUAAAGAUUUAUUGCUAUAAGAUGGCUAUGCGUUCUAUUAGCUAGUUGGUAUGGUAACGGCAUACCAAGGCAACGAUAGAUAGGGGUCCUGAGAGGGAGAUCCCCCACACUGGUACUGAGACACGGACCAGNCUCCUACGGGAGGCAGCAGUGAGGAAUAUUGGACAAUGGAGGCAACUCUGAUCCAGCCAUGCCGCGUGUAGGAAGACUGCCCUAUGGGUUGUAAACUACUUUUAUAGAGGAAGAAACAGUUCCACGUGUGGAACUCUGACGGUACUCUACGAAUAAGGAUCGGC